ACCAGACUCCUACGGGAGGCAGCAGUGGGGGAUAUUGCACAAUGGGGGAAACCCUGAUGCAGCAACGCCGCGUGAGUGAAGAAGUAUUUCGGUAUGUAAAGCUCUAUCAGCAGGGAAGAGAAUGACGGUACCUGACUAAGAAGCCCCGGCUAACUACGUGCCAGCAGCCGCGGUAAUACGUAGGGGGCGAGCGUUAUCCGGAUUUACUGGGUGUAAAGGGAGCGUAGACGGCUGGUCAAGUCUGAAGUGAAAGCCCGGGGCUUAACCCCGGAACGGCUUUGGAAACUGAGCAGCUAGAGUGCUGGAGAGGUAAGCGGAAUCCCUAGUGUAGCGGUGAAAUGCGUAGAUAUUAGGAGGAACACCAGUGGCGAAGGCGGCUUACUGGACAGUAACUGACGUUGAGGCUCGAAAGCGUGGGGAGCAAACAGGAUUAGAUACCCGAGUA
rnacentral:rRNA from 1 species